ensembl:lncRNA
GUUUCAUGAUUGAAGUAGAAACAGGAGAGGGAGGGGGAGAGAAUGAGAGGAGAAGAGGCAGCUGUGCAGCUCCAGCUUUGUGUCUUUUUCAUUGUAGCUGAAGUCCGGGACAAACUGCGUUCCUUUUCACCUCAACACGAAACGCGCAAUAUUUUCUCUGAAUACGAGACGAUUCCAUUUUUUACGGGACGAUUGGAAACUCUACUAACUAACCUUACAAAUAAAAUAAAAUAAAACAAGUUCAACAUCAAUAACAUCAUAGCACCCACCCAGCAGUAUAGAAACUCUGUCAUGCUAGCUAGUACGCAGUAUGAGUUAUUAUAACUGACUGUAAAAAGUCAGCAUAACGAAAAUAAACUCCACCUAAACUUGGUUUAUAUCUGACCCAGGUAGACUGCAGGUCAUAACUUCUUACCUGAAGUUCAGUUCACCGCCUCGGGUCUCUGCUCCUCCUGCCUUUCCGUCAUCCACCUGCCAGCGUGUUGCAUCUGCAGGCCUCCACCACUUGCUAAUGUUACUGAAUCUGUGGAAGCUCUGCAAUAGCCACCACUAAACAAUUGAGUUAUUUUUACGCACCUCCCAGCAUCUGGCCAAUCCACCAGCUUUCAGUGUUUAUACGGGGGAAAAAAUCAAAAAAACAAAACAUCAGCCCAUAAAAACGAAAAAUCACCAGCGGGCAUACCGGGCAAACAUUCUUACCCAAACAUGAAAUGCCACUUUGGGUUAAACUGAAACUAAGAAAACACAAGGAGUCUGCUGAAUGUCAUUAGUCUUUCCAGUCCUUCUUGUGCACUCAUUUCUUGUGCAUAUACAUUCAGUUAAAAACACCGUUCCUAUUCAUUAAAGAUUCAUCUGCGCUUCUGGUACAGAAAACAAAUAUCACCAUUUUCUUCUGCUUAUCCACUCCAGGGUCACGGGGGAACUGGAAACCAUCCCAGCUGUCGAAGGGUGAGAGAUGGAGUACUUGCUAGACGAGUCACCAGUCUAUCACAAGGCUAACAUAGAGAGGUAGACAGCCAUUCACACUCACAUUCACACCUAAUGGCAAUGUAGAAUCACCACUUAACCUAGCAUGCAUGUCUUUGGAUCGUGG